GGUUUUUUGAAUAUAAUUUAAAAUCAGGCCUGCCCACUGAUAUUAUUAAAUGGCCGCGGUAUUUUGACCGUGCAAAGGUAGCAUAAUCAUUAGUUUUUUAAUUGAAAGCUGGAAUGAAUGGUUUAAUGAGAAAAUAGCUGUCUCAAUUUAAUUUUAUUAAAAUUUUAUAUUUAAGUUAAAAAGCUUAAAUUAUCUUAAAAGACGAGAAGACCCUAUAGAGUUUUAUAUUAAAUAAAAUUAAAAGAUUAGGAUUAAGGUAUUUUAAUUUAAUUUAAUAUUUAAUUGGGGUGAUUAAAAAAUUUAUUAAACUUUUUUUUUAUUUUUACAUUAAUUAGUGAAUAUUUGAUCCAUUUUUUAUGAUUAUAAGAUUAAAUUACCUUAGGGAUAACAGCGUAAUUUUUUUUAAGAGUUCUUAUCGAAAAAAGAGAUUGCGACCUCGAUGUUGGAUUAAAAUUAAUAUUAGGUGUAGAAGCUUAAUAAUUAGGUCUGUUCGACCUUUAAAAUUUUACA
rnacentral:rRNA from 1 species